UGUGACGGCAGGUAACGAUGGACAAUUACAACUAGAUUGAUGAAUGAGCUCCGAUUCAACUAUAGUUUCUGUGAGUCUCGACAUCCGACAUCCUAUCUGUUGAAAAAUAUGUCCCAAAAGUCAAUCAUCAAGUUGUUGACGGUUGAGCAACCAAGUAUGGUAAUUGAUUUAUUGAUAAAUAAAAUAUAUUUGGUAUUUU
rnacentral:lncRNA from 1 species